rnacentral:rRNA from 1 species
AGACGAGGAGGACAGGUGGUGCAUGGUUGUCGUCAGCUCGUGUCGUGAGAUGUUGGGUUAAGUCCCGCAACGAGCGCAACCCUUGUCAUUAGUUGCCAUCAUUUAGUUGGGCACUCUAAUGAGACUGCCGGUGACAACCGGAGGAAGGUGGGGAUGACGUCAAGUCCUCAUGGCCCUUAUGGUAGGGCGUUCACACGUCAUACAAUGGUCGGUACAGAGGGUUGCCAAGCCGCGAGGUGGAGCCAAUCCCUUAAAGCCGAUCGUAGUCCGGAUCGUAGUCUGCAACUCGACUACGUGAAGUCGGAAUCGCUAGUAAUCGCAGAUCAGCAUGCUGCGGUGAAUACGUUCCCGGGUCCUU